GGGUCCCAGUCCCUGACUGCAAAAGGAAGCCAAAACUGACAACAACGUCUCCUUCUCUACGGAGGUUUGUAGAAAGGCUGUACAAAAAUCUCACAAGAUGUAUUUCUUCUCGUGGACUGGAGUCCCAAGGUGCUUAAGGGCUCUUCAAUUUGUUAAUGGAAAGAAACACCAUUUACACCGGAUGGCUACAAAGCAACCUUAUUCUGAGAGAGAGGAUCUCAUUCUGUCACCCAGGCUGGAGUGCAUGAUCAUAGCUCACUGCAGCCUCGACCUCCUGGGCUCAAGUGAUCCUCCUGCUCUAGCCUCUCAAGUAGCUAGGACUACAGAUCUUUUCUCAGAAUAGCAGUCUGUAGGCUGUCACCUAAAGUGUCCUGUUUUCAGUGCUGCACCUGCUCUGAGCUUCAGCUUUUUACGAAGACGUCAUGGUGUGCUAUCUGUACUGGGAAACUUUCCCCAGCAUCAGCCAGCUCCUGAAGAUAAUAUUGUCUGCUAGAGAUUGUCAUGUAUGUGGAUUGAAUCUCUUUAUCUUCAUGCUCUUUCUGCCUGAAGACAAGAGCAACUCCACUUUACCACCAGGUGCAGCAGCAACAGCCUUCUAUAGUGUCUCCAUGCCAGCCUCUAGCAUCUAGAUGUUCCCAGCUUUCUACAGUGCCCUGUAAGCUCGCACUCUCUCCCUCUGCCAGCGUCACAGGAGGGUCGGUUAGUGACACAUCCCUGAUCUUUCAACCUCCUCCCUCAACCGUGUAAUGUCCAAGUCCUAUAAUAGAUCCUUCAAUCUAUGAUGCUUAUCGUGGUUCUGCUUCCCAAUUCAAACCCUGGCUGAGACGUGGUCUUAUGAGGGGACAUUGCAUGGUGUGGUGAAAGUCACCCCACAGUAUCCCCAUGGUAAACAUAAUAGAAUAGCUGUGAAUUUCUCUUAGCCCGGGACACGAUCAAAACUGGAUUGUCUGCCAGGCUGAAGAGACCCCAAGGUGAACAAAAAAGGAUGGAAGCUGCUCUCUGGCCUGCCAGCCAAUCACAUAUUCCUUUAAGACUACCUACCAUGCCAGUUCCAAACUCAGCCGCAGGCAGCCAUCAGGUACUUAUAAAGUAGCUGUCAUGACUGGGCAACUGAAUUUUAAAUUUUAAUGAAGUUUAAAUGUAAAAACUGAUAACUUGAGUCUGUUAUUGAAAAACCUU
rnacentral:lncRNA from 1 species